rnacentral:rRNA from 1 species
UGGGGAAUCUUGCACAAUGGAGGAAACUCUGAUGCAGCGAUGCCGCGUGAGUGAAGAAGGCCUUUGGGUUGUAAAGCUCUUUUGUAGGGGAAGAUAAUGACUGUACCCUAAGAAUAAGGUCCGGCUAACUUCGUGCCAGCAGCCGCGGUAAUACGAAGGGACCUAGCGUAGUUCGGAAUUACUGGGCGUAAAGCGCGCGUAGGCCGUUGAGUUAGUUAAUUGUGAAAUCCCAAAGCUUAACUUUGGAACGGCAAUUAAAACUGCUCGACUAGAGUUUGAUAGAGGAAAGCGGAAUACAUAGUGUAGAGGUGAAAUUCGUAGAUAUUAUGUAGAACACCAGUUGCGAAGGCGGCUUUCUGGAUCAACACUGACGCUGAGGCGCGAAAGUAUGGGUAGCAAAGAGGAUUAGAUACCCUCGUAGUCCAUACCAUAAACGAUGAUUGCUAGAUGUUGGAAAUUUAUUUUCAGUAUCGCAGCUAACGCAUUAAGCAAUCCGCCUGGGGAGUACGACCGCAAGGUUA